UUGAAGACCCCCCCCCCCCCCCACCAAGCUGCCCACCAGAGGCCAAGCUGUACUUGGUGUUUGCCAACAUGCUGUAAUUUCCAGCCUGGUUGCUGUAGCCACAGAGGAAUUUUCAAGGACAAGAACCAGUGCUGGUAAAACUGUGGUCUCUGUGGUUUUCCAUACCGGCUCUCGGCAAGGAUUUUCAAGAAAGGAAUACCAUCUCCAAAUCAUGAUGUGCCAAUAAGCUCCAGUUAGCUGCGGCCUUUUCCCCGGCCGGUAGUCCUGCAAUCUGAAUCCAGGAGAUGCAGCUCUGAAUCCAAUAUUUCAGAAGAAUGAAGAUGAAGCAGACCCAGGAGGAACUGUCUGUUGAAGACCCCCCCCCCCCCCACCAAGCUGCCCACCAGAGGCCAAGCUGUACUUGGUGUUUGCCAACAUGCUGUAAUUUCCAGCCUGGUUGCUGUAGCCACAGAGGAAUUUUCAAGGACAAGAACCAGUGCUGGUAAAACUGUGGUCUCUGUGGUUUUCCAUACCGGCUCUCGGCAAGGAUUUUCAAGAAAGGAAUACCAUCUCCAAAUCAUGAUGUGCCAAUAAGCUCCAGUUAGCUGCGGCCUUUUCCCCAGG